GGGCCACGGCGCGGGGCAUGCGGUGGCUGCCCUCCUAUUCCGGCGGGGGGACCGCGGAGCCAAGGGGAGACCGGAGUGAGGGCGAGAGUAGGUGCAGAGGGGAGAGGGUCCGCAAGGGGAGAGAUCAAGUCGGGUUGAGGGCUUGCGGAGGCAGCGGUAACAACGGCAGCUGGAGCGCUGGUAGCAGCGGGGGUGAGGCUCGACCCUCCAGGGCGCCUUGGCGACAGCAGACGAAGCAGAAGGAGCGGGUGCUCGAGUUCGGGCCUCGGUGGCGUAGCACGCCUAGCUCGAAGUAGAAGGAGCUAGUGGCGGCCGCAAGAAGAAGUUCAAGCAGGUUAGGACGCGAGGAUUGGAAGGUGGUCCGGAUGAACACGGAGGUGCUGGGGCUCUGGCUACGACGGGAACACUAGCUGAUGCAGCUGCUGCUGGGGGGAGGAACGGUUUCGUCGGUCUACUGCCUAGGGUCCUCGGUCUUCUGUGGUAACUACUGAUGACGAUGGGGCUCCCACGGAUGAUGAUGCACCUCUGGCGGUUGCUGGUCCUCAUCAAUCCUCCGAGGGUCCGUCCUCCGGAACGGAAAAGCUAGCAACAACGAAAACACGAUCGGAAGAAUUCCGUUUGAACAGAUUGAAUACAGACAUGAGUCUAUAACAACGAAGGC
rnacentral:rRNA from 1 species